GUCCACGCCGUAAACGAUGUCUACUAGCCGUUGGGUUCCUUGAGGACUUAGUGGCGCAGCUAACGCAAUAAGUAGACCGCCUGGUGAGUACGGUCGCAAGAUUAAAACUCAAAUGAAUUGACGGGGCCCGCACAAGCGGUGGAGCAUGUGGUUUAAUUCGACGCAACGCGAAGAACCUUACCAGGUCUUGACAUCCAGAGAACUUUCCAGAGAUGGAUUGGUGCCUUCGGGAGCUCUGAGACAGGUGCUGCAUGGCUGUCGU
rnacentral:rRNA from 1 species